CUGGCCCUGAAUCAAGGCCAGCAGUUUUCUGAAGCUGUUGGUUUCAAGCAGGAGCCUAAAGAGAUGUCUUUCUAUGGUCUGUUGGCCAUUUCAGAACUUGGCAAAUGGAAUGGUGUGUGGUGGUGCACACCUGU
rnacentral:snoRNA from 1 species